rnacentral:lncRNA from 1 species
GAUUGAUUGUUGAAUGCUUGGAAAUUUGGGGAUAUUACCUUCCCCUUACUUUUUCUCAUCAUUUCUGUUUCACUAGAGUGGGACCAGAAAGAGAAUGGCAACUUGGCUGUCUCUGGAACCCAGUUCCACAAAGUCCCUCAAUGGAAUUCCUAUGCUAGUGAAAUCCUAGGCAUUCAUCCUGCUUAAAUGCUGGUGUGGAUGAAAAGGCUUACCAAAGACUGCCCCGACCAUCCAUCCCACACUGUGUGCACACACAUGAAGAAGAGAGCUCCUAGCCCCAGGAAUUCCAGGCUCUGGAACAGAACCCAUGGGGAGAUUUGGUGAUUCCCUUUCCUGGUGAACUACAAGAUUAGGACAGGCUCCCCUCGACCCUAGGGUGAGUCAAUGACAGACCUGCUUAGAGGCAGUGGGAUGGAUAAAGUGAUUUUCUUGGGGUUGCUGCUGUCUUUAUGUGAUGUGCCUAAGUGUGACUGAAUCAAAUUCAGUUCCUCCCUACUGCCAUGAGACUCUUCAACUGCCACUAAUGACCUAUUUCUAAUUCUAUUCAUUUCUAAUUCUAUUUAUUUAUAUUGAUGCCUGUUCACUUGUUUUGAUGUCUGUCUCCCCCCUUCUGGACAAUAAGCCCAGUGUGGGCAGGGAUUGUCUCUCUUUAUUGCUGAAUUGUACCUUCCAAGUGCUUAGGACAGUGUUCUGCACACAGUAAGCGCUCAAUAAAUAAGAUUGAAUGAUUGAAUAUUUAUUAAGUAUUUGCUAUG